GCAGGGUGAGUCGACCCCUAAGGCGAGGCCGAAAGGCGUAGUCGAUGGGAAACAGGUUAAUAUUCCUGUACUUGGUGUUACUGCGAAGGGGGGACGGAGAAGGCUAUGUUGGCCGGGCGACGGUUGUCCCGGUUUAAGCGUGUAGGCUGGUUUUCCAGGCAAAUCCGGAAAAUCAAGGCUGAGGCGUGAUGACGAGGCACUACGGUGCUGAAGCAACAAAUGC
rnacentral:rRNA from 1 species